rnacentral:rRNA from 1 species
AAUAACAGCCGGAAACGGCUGCUAAUACCGCAUAAUGCAGCGGCUCGACAUCGAGACAGUUGUUAAAGCGGAGGAUCCCGCAAGGGACUUCGCGCCUGAAGGGGAGCCUGCGGCAGAUUAGGUUGUUGGUGAGGUAAUGGCUCACCAAGCCUGCGAUCUGUAGCCGGCCUGAGAGAGCGGUCGGCCACACUGACACUUAAAUACGGGUCAG